GACGAACGCUGGCGGCGUGCCUAAUACAUGCAAGUAGAACGCUGAAGGAGGAGCUUGCUUCUCUGGAUGAGUUGCGAACGGGUGAGUAACGCGUAGGUAACCUGCCUGGUAGCGGGGGAUAACUAUUGGAAACGAUAGCUAAUACCGCAUAAUAGUAGAUGUCGCAUGACAUUUGCUUAAAAGGUGCAAUUGCAUCACUACCAGAUGGACCUGCGUUGUAUUAGCUAGUUGGUGAGGUAACGGCUCACCAAGGCAACGAUACAUAGCCGACCUGAGAGGGUGAUCGGCCACACUGGGACUGAGACACGGCCCAGACUCCUACGGGAGGCAGCAGUAGGGAAUCGUCGGCAAUGGACGGAAGUCUGACCGAGCAACGCCGCGUGAGUGAAGAAGGUUUUCGGAUCGUAAAGCUCUGUUGUAAGAGAAGAACGAGUGUGAGAGUGGAAAGUUCACACUGUGACGGUAUCUUACCAGAAAGGGACGGCUAACUACGUG
rnacentral:rRNA from 1 species